GCCGGGUGCAGUGGCGUGCGCCUGUAAUCCUGCUACUGGGAGGCUGAGGCUAGCGGAUCGUUUGAGUCCAGGAGUUCUGGUCUAUCCUGCGCUAUGUCGAUCGGGUGUCCGCACUAAGUUUGGUAUCAAUAUGGUGGGGCCGAGGGAGCUCAGCCUCACCAGGUUGUCUAAGGAGGGGUGACCCGGCCCAGGUCGGAAACGGAGCAGGUCAAAACCCCCGUGCCGAUCAGUAGUGGGAUCGCGCCCGUGAAUAGCCGGGGUAGGGCAGCCUGGCCAACACAGCGAGACGCAGUCUUUU
rnacentral:SRP_RNA from 1 species